GGGACCACUGCUCUAUAUUAUAUGUGUAUAAACAUAUGUGAUAUGUAUUAAUAAUAUAGAUGAUACACAAUAUGUAUGUAUUAUCUACAAUGGAUAAAUAGAUAAUAUAUAUUACUAUGUUACCAUAUUCCUGUAUUAUAUAUACUAUGUAUAUAUUACAUAAUACAUGGUACAUAUAGUAGAUUGUCUUUUAUGCAUAUACAGGUUUCGAGGUGGGACUAACCCAGGAAGAUGCUACCAACGUAAGAUGGUCAACUGUGGUGUCUCUCACUUGAGAGUCCAAGGGUAUCAGCUGGCAGAAGCACACCCAAUGGCAUGGAAACUUCCAGCAACUUCUCACAGAUUCCACCCCCUGGCCUCCCUGCAAGAGGCAGACGUCAUUGUGAAUUUUGUGUUUGUUACUCCCUAUGUACAUGUAUCGUAAAUACCAUUUUGCUUGGUUGAUAUUUAUAUUUGCUAUUUUAAGCUUCAUAAAUCACAGGCAGCAAGCCUGCCUGUCCAUUCCAGAAGGAGACAUGGUCUUCAUGAUACUGCACAGCAUGCGCACCUGACUUGCUCUGGAAGGAGAUACUCUGUCUACCACAGGUUUUCACCGUACAGACAUCCUUGAAAAGAUACCCCGGAAGUAAGGGCUCUUUCUCAAGAUGUGCAGGACUUGAGCAGCUCAUGGGUAAGUGUCUGUCAACAGGAAUUCAUCAGCGAGCUACACAGGCCCGACCUCUUCUGCUCUCUGCAAGCUGACAUUUUAGUUGGGGAGACCGGACUUUGCAUAAACAAACUCAACAGACUGUCUUUAGUGCACUGAAGGAGUUAACAAAAGCAUCAAUGUGAGACUUUUUCAGGAAAACAUGACUAAGAUGGGAUGGUUGAGUGAGGCCUCUCUCAUUGGAGAGGCAAGCAAAAGUUACCAGCUGGUGGAAGCAGGCCGCAGGCAGCGAGAACCGCCUGCACGGCUGUUCAGAGGCACAGGAAGCGUGGUGUGUGUGGGAGCUGAAAGGCUGGUGGGUCUGGAAAGCAGCGAGCUGGGGAAAAAAAGAGGCUUGAGGCCCUGAAGCCAUGGUGAGCAGUCUGAGAUUUAUUGUGAAUGGGUAUAAAAGGGUUUUACACAGGGGAGUGAUAACAAUCUGAUUUGCAUUUUUGCUAGGCACACUUUGUUGCCCACACAGAAGGGAUUGGAGGGGCUUUUGAAAUCCUUGACAAGUCUCUGCUGUUUCUGAUUGAAUUUUUAAUCUAUUCAUUCAACCUGACAUCAGAGGUGCAAAGACCCCAGCCAAUGUGGGGCUGCAGAUUCCUUUAGGAUGGAAAGACAAGGGAAGGAAGUGGCAGCUGAGCUAUUUGGACUUCCUUAUGGUAUGCAGGCCUUCAUGCAAGGGAAUGGAAGAUGGCAUUCAGCUUGAAAGCUGUAUUGAGCAGGUAACCUCUGGGGAAAACAGCCAACGAUUUCAUGCUUUGAAAUCAAGCAGACUGAAGUCCAUGUGCUGGAUCCUACACAUUUGCUUUGGGGGUUUGGUUUGGAUCAGACCUCUAGGUUUUGUGGUGGAUGAAGGUGAACAGGUCAUGAUGGGGCCACUCCCAAGCUGGGGAUUUCUUGGAGGGCUCCCAUUGAACUCAAAAUAUGUACAGAUUUCCACACUUUGAGCCAUAGCCCAUCCAUGUUUUGUUUUAAUAUCAGC
rnacentral:lncRNA from 10 species